GCGACGGAGAAACAAAUUGAUACUGGAAACAAUGUAUCGAGAUGGAAGGACUCGGCGGGCAAAACAAAAUGGAAAUCCUCCUGCUCUUCCCGCUCCCUGGCCUCCGGUUAAAGCCUUUCUUCGGUCCCGGCAGAAGGCAGUGAUUGGAACCCUACCUCAUAUCAAAACAGAGAGAAGCACCAAAAAUCCUAGAGAAGUAUAGCCUCCAAUACCCAGGAACAUGAGAGGCUGUAGAUUGAGCCAGUUGCAUCAUGGGUACAACCCUCCCCACCAUCAAGGUCACCUUAAAGAGGUGGUGCCUCACAUCCAUCUCUAAGGAUCUUCAACAUCCAGGACACACCCUCUUCUCAUUGCAAGGAGAUACAGACAUGAAUGCCCGCUCUCAAUGAGUCAGAAACAGCUUCUUCCACUCUGCCAACAGAUUUCUGAAUGGCUCACGAAACCAUGCAGGUUGAUAGGGAAAAUCAGGUUGGAAUUGCAUCUCAAGAGAAUCAGAUCAUUAUGCAGUGCACUGAGGUAGAAUGAGGAGACGAAACCUGAGCAGAGCAGCCGUGAUCAUAUCGAAUGCUGGCGCGAGCUUGAGGGAGUAAGGGUGGUCUACUUACGCUCCGAUUUUCUUCGUGAAUGAUUGAGUAAAGAAAACUGAGGCUUGGCAAAACUCAUGUGUACAGAGUCUCAGAAGGUUAUAGAAGGAGAUGAGAUGGAGAGAAGGAGGGGUGCUGAAUAUAAAAUUUAAACUUUUCUUUCUUUCAUUGUAUUAUGUUCAAUGCAGAGAAAAUGUAGUUACCAGCUGAUCUGCUACCAGUACCUUGUACAAUACAUUUGACCUCUAAUGAAUGGGCUUUGAUAAAGCAUUCUUCUGAAUUAAAAAUACUUGCAGUGAAAGAAUGCUCAGGUCUUUAGAGUUGUUAUCUAGCAAGUGAACCUAAUUAGUAUUUACUUCAUAGAAAUGAUUAGACAAUUUAUAAUUCAUGUGUGUAUAUGCGCGCGUGUGUGUGUAUGUAUGUACAAACCCCAUUUCCAGAAAAGUUGGGAUAUUUUCCAAAAUGCAAUAAAAACAAAAAUCU